rnacentral:rRNA from 1 species
AACGCUGGCGGCAGGCUUAACACAUGCAAGUCGAACGGGCAUAGCAAUAUGUCAGUGGCAGACGGGUGAGUAACGCGUGGGAACGUACCUUUUGGUUCGGAAUAACUCAGGGAAACUUGUGCUAAUACCGAAUAAGCCCUUACGGGGAAAGAUUUAUCGCCGAAAGAUCGGCCCGCGUCUGAUUAGCUAGUUGGUGAGGUAAAAGCUCACCAAGGCGACGAUCAGUAGCUGGUCUGAGAGGAUGAUCAGCCACAUUGGGACUGAGACACGGCCCAAACUCCUACGGGAGGCAGCAGUGGGGAAUAUUGGACAAUGGGCGAAAGCCUGAUCCAGCCAUGCCGCGUGAGUGAUGAAGGCCCUAGGGUUGUAAAGCUCUUUUGUGCGGGAAGAUAAUGACGGUACCGCAAGAAUAAGCCCCGGCUAACUUCGUGCCAGCAGCCGCGGUAAUACGAAGGGGGCUAGCGUUGCUCGGAAUCACUGGGCGUAAAGGGUGCGUAGGCGGGUC